GACGAACGCUGGCGGCGUGCUUAACACAUGCAAGUCGAACGGAAAGGCCCUGCUUGCAGGGUGCUCGAGUGGCGAACGGGUGAGUAACACGUGGGUGAUCUGCCCCUUACUUUGGGAUAAGCCUGGGAAACUGGGUCUAAUACUGGAUAGGACCAUGCUGUAGGUGGUGUGGUGGAAAGAUUAGUUUCGGUAAGGGAUGAGCUCGCGGCCUAUCAGCUUGUUGGUGGGGUAAUGGCCUACCAAGGCGUCGACGGGUAGCCGGCCUGAGAGGGUGGACGGCGACAUUGGUACUGAGAUACGGCCGAGACGCCUACGGGGGGCAGCAGUGGGGAAUAUUGCACAAUGGGGGGAAGCCUGAUGCAGCGACGCCGCGUGGGGGAUGACGGCCUUCGGGUUGUAAACUCCUUUCAGCCAUGGCGAAGCACUUGUGGUGACGGUAGUGGUAGAAGAAGCACCGGCUAACUACGUG
rnacentral:rRNA from 1 species